CGGGUGAGUAACGCGUGGGUAACCUGCCUCACACAGGGGGAUAACAGUUGGAAACGGCUGCUAAUACCGCAUAAGCGCACAGUACCGCAUGGUACAGUGUGAAAAACUCCGGUGGUGUGAGAUGGACCCGCGUCUGAUUAGCUAGUUGGCAGGGUAACGGCCUACCAAGGCGACGAUCGGUAGCCGGACUGAGAGGUUGAACGGCCACAUUGGGACUGAGACACGGCCCAG
rnacentral:rRNA from 1 species